AUGCCCAUUGAGUUCCAAUUACCUUAUAAAUAGAGGAGAAAUCUACUCUCCAUUUGCACAACAAUCAAUUUCCAAAGAAAAGCUGAAUUUAUACAGAGUACUCCACAUAACCACUCGCCUCCCUUCCUCUGUUCUCACGCACAACCACCAUCACCACCGCGGCUCUGCCGCCGGCCAACCUGAUGCCACCACCCUUAAAAUUUCGUUCUCCACCCCCAGAAUAUGCUCAUUCACUACCGACAAAUAUCAAGCUCGAAUCGUAGUUCAGUUGUCGAAACCGAACAUUAACUCAUGCACAACCUAUUUUCUCUCUCUCCAUUGACGCGGACCACCACCGCCGGAAACCACCAUCAGCACCAUCCCCUCCGACGUUCUUCUGCCGUCGCGCCACCUAAAAACACCAACCACCUGAGCCCCUCCUUGUGCCGCCAUUGCCUCUCGGACCUUCCUCCUUCCGUGCUUCAGUUCUGUUCUACCAAAGAGUUAAUGGAUUUUGAAAUCAAUUUCCCAAAUUGAAGUGUUGUCAGCACCUUUAUUUCUAAAUAAAGUCAACCUACUUUACCUUUAUGACUUUUGUAUAAAAUAGUUCUCGGAGCUCAGGAAGAACGAUCCAUCGAACGGGACGUAUAAACUACGGUUGAGGUACGAAGAAGAUCAUGGGAUGCCUUAGAGUGAGGAUGCAACCAUCAAAGUCACGAUCGAUGUUUAAUAAAGAUAACUAUGUCAUUAGUAAUAAAGGGAUGUAUUAAUUAAACUCUAAGUUUGAUUUCACGAUUUGAGUUAGAUUUUCAAAUUAAUGUUGAAACAUGUUAGAAAUAUUUAUUAAGGUUUACUUAGAUUUUAAUGUAAUUUUUAAAGAAUUAAUCGAAGUGAAGUAUAAUUACUGUUACUCAACAGUAGUCAGUAAAUGUAAAAAGGUUAUGUCGCCUUGUAUUUCCCACGAGGGAGAUACGGCAAGUGACGCUCCGACUAAAUUAGGGUUUCCGCUGCUAAUUAAAGAUAAUUAACCUAAUUAAUGGUGUUUAGAAGUCGGGGUGUUACACUUUCACUUGUUCUAGAUUAGGUAAUUAUAAAAAAUAAUAUUAACUUGAUUUAAGUUAUUGUUUAGUUAGGUCAAUGACAAAUAGGGUUGUCAACAGGUGGAUAAAACCAGGUAACGGGUUGUCACGAGUUGGUUCAAUAACAAGUUUAAUCGGGUUAUAAUUGGUUUCGGGUUGACAUCGAGUUGGGCAUUUUCCGGAAUG